UUUCCUUCUUCAUCCUCAGGUGUGGACGAAAAUGUGCCUUUGGGUACCACAAUACACACGUUCCUUACGACGGAUCUGGACCCCUCGGGAACAGACAAUGCCAAGGUCACCUACGGCUUUGAGAUUGGCCCCACGCCGGAUUGGAUCACCAUCGACACCAGCACUGGGGCAUUGAUCGUCAAAGAUACUAUCGACUUCGAGACAAGCGCAACCAUCACAUGUAAAGUGUUUGUCUAUUCCUCCAACAAGGUAGUAAACAAUUCACUCAUAGACGUGACUGUCAACGUCAAUGACUUAAACGACCGAACUCCCACUUUUGCACAGGUAUUUUACGAGGCAACUGUGUCUGAGAGUGCUUCGUUUAGAGACACCGUGAUAACCGUGGUGGCCUCUGACGGGGAUGCUGGUGCCGACAUCACUUACAGCUUGUCAGGUUCCCCCGAUUUUGAGAUUGCAGACCCCACGGUGGGGUCGGUGACCAUAAAGCAACAGCUGGACUAUGAGACGACCCCAGUGUACCUGGUAGAACUGACCGCUUCUGACGGAACCCUCUCUUCCAGUGUUUAC